UACGGGGGGGGCAAGCGGUUGUUCGGAAUUACUGGGCGUAAAGGGCUCGUAGGCGGCCAACUAAGUCAUACGUGAAAUCCCUCGGCUUAACCGGGGAACUGCGUCUGAUACUGGAUGGCUUGAGUUCGGGAGAGGGAUGCGGAAUUCCAGGUGUAGCGGUGAAAUGGCGUAGAUAUCUGGAGGAACACCGGUGGCGAAGGCGGCGAUCCUGGACCGAUACUGACGCUGAUGAGCGAAAGCGUGGGGAGCAAACAGG
rnacentral:rRNA from 1 species